UGAUGUAUCACAUCUAGACGAGUAAUGAUACAUAGAUCCCUGAUAGAUCAGUCACUACCCGCUGAUCCAGUGGGUAGUGUAGACAUACCCUUAAGUGGGGAUAUGGGAGAGGUA